UUUAAGUAAGAACAAUGUAUAUAAUAUUAAAUAUUUCAAAUGUGCCAAGUUACAUACUCCAUUGUAUAUCAAAACAGUAAAAAUUGUAAUUAUUACAACUAAUUAGAGUUAGAAAUUAACAAAGAGAAAUUAAUAAAGAAAAUCUCUUAAAAUUUCUACAUUUCUUCAUGUUCAGUAUUAGUAUUAUCUUGACGUCCAACCUGAAACAAUUAAACAAAACGUACAAAUCUUUUAAAAUAUUAUCAAGUUUGUAAAUAAAAUAAUAUAUAAAUGCAAAAUACCUAGCCUAUAACAUUGAAUGCAAAUGAUAUGUCCAUACCUGAACCAAGUAAAGGAACAUGAGUGGAAGUAGAUGAACGUGGAGCAACUACAAUGUUUUCUUUCCCUAAAGCCCAUGAGUAUUAAGUUGCAAGAAAACUGUUAUAACUAGAUUUAUAAGAUGAAAGAGAAGCAAUUAACACAAAACCAAUUGAGCUCAAACUCUAACAAAGUUUAUUGAUCCCAUUCAGUGCAUAUACUCUUGUUUUUUCCUAUUCAUAGCAUUUUCUUUACUGACUCCUCAGUGCUGCAAAAAUAAGUACGAGGGUCAUGUAUAUUUCCUAAAUUAAAUAUUUGAUGACCUAUUUAUUGAUUAAAUCUAUUUUGCAAAGGUAAGAUUAUUUCUCAGUAAAUCUAUAACUUUAAGUAGCUUAAACCAACACUUCCCUAGUGAUAUUAUGUACUAAAAUACCAGUAUAUAACUGCAACCCACAAAUAUAAUGAACAUGCAAAUACCAGUUUACCUAAGAAUAAUCAACCUAUCUCAAAUGCUAUAGAAAAACUAAGAUAAGUUAGAGCAGAAGUUCACCUCUGAAAUGGCUAUAGUGGACCACCAAUUGAAGAAGCAAUGUUGAUAUAUUUCGCAGGCAAUGAUUUGCCAUACCAUUCACUUCAAUAACAUACCCUUUAUAAACAGGGACAAUUUCCUGAAAACAGAACCAAAAAUUAAAAACAAAAACUGAAAAUAGAA
rnacentral:lncRNA from 1 species